UACGGAGGGGGCUAACGUUGUUCGGAAUUACUGGGCGUAAAGCGCGCGUAGGCGGAUGGUCAAGUCGGGGGUGAAAUCCCGGGGCCCAACCCCGGAACUGCCUCCGAUACUGGCCGUCUGGAGGACGGGAGAGGCGAGUGGAAUGCCGAGUGUAGAGGUGAAAUUCGUAGAUAUUCGGCGGAACACCCGUGGCGAAGGCGGCUCGCUGGUCCGUUUCUGACGCUGAGGCGCGAAAGCGUGGGGAGCAAACAGG
rnacentral:misc_RNA from 1 species